GAUGAACGCUGGCGGCGUGCCUAACACAUGCAAGUCGAGCGAACAGACGAGGAGCUUGCUCCUCUCACGUUAGCGGCGGACGGGUGAGUAACACGUGGAUAACCUACCUAUAAGACUGGGAUAACUUCGGGACUCCGGGGCUAAUACCGGAUAAUAUAAUGCACCGUAUGGUUCAAUAGUAAAAGACGGUUUUGCUGUCACUUAUAGCUGGUUCCGCGCCGCAUGAGCUAGUUGGUAAGGUAACGGCUUACCAAGGCAGCGAUGCGUAGCCGACCUGAGAGGGGGAUCGGCCACACUGGAGCGGGGACACGGACCAGACGCCUACGAGAGGCAGCAGUAGGCAAUCUGCGGCAAUGGUGGAGAGCAUGACGGAGCAAGGGCGCGUGAGUGAUGAAGGCCUUCGGAGCGUAAAACUCUGUUAUUAGGGAUGAACAAAUGUGUAAGUAGCGAAGCACGGCUUGACGGUACCUGAUCAGAAAGCCACGGCUAACUACGUG
rnacentral:rRNA from 1 species